rnacentral:misc_RNA from 1 species
UUGCAGACACUUGUAAUGUAGCUUUCAAAUGAGAUAAGAUUAAGGAAUGAAAACACCACUAGAUUAGUGAGAACUGUGUAAGAUAAAUGACGAUCUAAAAAUUAGGGAUUAUCUUUCCUUUGAGAUUGUGAAUGAAGAAAUGGGAAUGAAGAGUGGUGGCGAUGAAGCGGAGGAGGUGGUCGUGGUGGCGCUGGUGGUGCCAGGUGGGUGAGGAAG